rnacentral:snRNA from 1 species
GUCAAUACCUGGCAGGGGAGAUAUCAUGAUCACGAAGGUGGUUUUCCCAGGGCGAGGCUUAUCCAUUGCAUUCCGGAUGUGCUGACCCCUGCAAUUUCCCCAGAUGUGGGAAACUCCACUGCUUAAUUUACGGUAGUGGAUGACUGAGUUCGUGCUUUCCCC